ACUUGUUGAUAGUGUUUGAUAACACGCGUGAUUUAAAAUCCCUCGGCGUUCGCGCUGUGCGGGUUCAAGUCCCGCUCCGGGUACCA
rnacentral:tRNA from 3 species